CCUACGGGAGGCAGCAGUGGGGAAUAUUGGGCAAUGGAGGAAACUCUGACCCAGCGACGCCGCGUGCGGGAUGAAGGCCUUCGGGUUGUAAACCGCUUUCAGCAGGGAAGAAGCGAAAGUGACGGUACCUGCAGAAGAAGCACCGGCUAACUAUGUGCCAGCAGCCGCGGUAAUACAUAGGGUGCAAGCGUUGUCCGGAAUUAUUGGGCGUAAAGAGCUCGUAGGUGGUUCGUCACGUCGGAUGUGAAAAUCUGGGGCUUAACCCCAGACCUGCAUUCGAUACGGGCGAGCUUGAGUAUGGUAGGGGAGUCUGGAAUUCCUGGUGUAGCGGUGGAAUGCGCAGAUAUCAGGAGGAACACCAAUGGCGAAGGCAGGACUCUGGGCCAUUACUGACACUGAGGAGCGAAAGCGUGGGGAGCGAACAGGAUUAGAUACCCUGGUAGUCCACGCCGUAAACGGUGGGCACUAGUUGUGGGGAACCUUCCACGGUCUCUGCGACGCNGCUACGCAUAGUGCCCGCCGUGGGAGGUACGAGCGCGAGAAUAAACUACGAAGAAGUAGACGCGNGAGACGNGCGACGGACGACGACGAGGGAGAGG
rnacentral:rRNA from 1 species